GGACCUGAGCGAGAACUUCAUCCAGGCCAUUCCCAGGAAAGCUUUCCGUGGGGCCACCGACCUCAAGAACCUGCAACUGGACAAGAACCAGAUCAGCUGCAUCGAGGAGGGGGCCUUCCGCGCCCUGCGGGGGCUGGAGGUCCUGACCCUGAACAACAACAACAUCACUUCCAUCCCCGUGUCCAGCUUCAACCACAUGCCCAAGCUGAGGACAUU